rnacentral:rRNA from 1 species
AUUGAACGCUGGCGGCAGGCCUAACACAUGCAAGUCGAACGAGUGGCGGACGGGUGAGUAAUGUCUGGGAAACUGCACGAUGGAGGGGGAUAACUACUGGAAACGGUAGCUAAUACCGCAUACCAUCGGAUGUGCCCAGAUGGGAUUAGCUAGUAGGUGGGGUAACGGCUCACCUAGGCGACGAUCCCUAGCUGGUCUGAGAGGAUGACCAGCCACACUGUACCUGAGACACGGUCCUGACUCGUACGGGAGGCAGCCGGGGGGAAUAUUGCACACUGGGCGCAAGCCUGAUGCAGCCAUGCCGCGUGUAUGAAGAAGGCCUUCGGGUUGUAAAGUACUUUCAGCGAGGAGGCGUUACUCGCAGAAGAAGCACCGGCUAACUCCGUGCCAGCAGCCGCGGUAAUAC